CUUUUGUUUCAAUUUUUAUCUUCUUCUCAAAAACUGCCCUGCCUCCUUACGGUUUACAGAGAGCCUUCACUCAUUCACAAAGUCACACUGCUCUCCUACCUGUGGCCACCAUCGAUCUUCCGGGUUGCACUCCAGCCAACUUCCGCCCUUGCAACUCAGGCGACCUCUACCCUCUCUGGUUCUUCGCCCUCACAGAUUAGAGAGCCCUAACUCGCUCACCUGCUCUGCCUUGUGGCCACUGCCGCGGCGCUGAUCUUCCGGGUCGCACUCCAGCCAACCUCCGACCUCGCAACUCAGGCAACCACCACCCUCGUGGUUCGCGUUCACAGGUAAUAGCUCUCACCCGCUCACACUGCUCUGCCUCCUGCAUGUGGCCGCCUCCUCCGGUCUCGGACCUCGCACCGCCACCAGCCUCCAACCCUUGCCACUUUGCGUCUUUGUGCGACCUCUGUGGCUCUGUCAAGUCCCAAUUUUUUGUGCUCAUUGUUUUGUAUGAGACAUUCCGAAUGCAUUCGUCAAAGUUUAGCUCUAGUGGCUCUCGUGACCUCCUUAUCUGUGAUGAGGCUCACAGACUAAAGAAUGAUCAGACGAUAACAAACAGGGCAUUGGCAGCUCUUCCAUGUAAACGUAGAAUUCUAUUUUCAGGAACUCCUUUGCAGAAUGACUUGGAGGAAUUCUGUGGAAGUUGAGGCUGAGAAACUACUAAGAUGCAUGGAAUGAAUAUUAUCAACAGUGUCAGACUUUUAUGAUACUUUAAGUACUUAAAUCUCUGUCUCUCGCCAAGGUUGCAGCAGCAGAGGCUGAGCGAGAGAGAAACCAGUGAUGGAUUGUUUGUCACUUCCAUCGUUCAUUUGGAUUCCAUCAACAUAUAAGUAUGAAAAACACAGCAACCAUCAAAAGAAGUUCCAAAUUGCGGUGUCUAGGAGAGACACUGACGCUGAAUUUUCUUUGUCCUUUUCUUGUUUUCCUUCAUUCAAUGCUAUUCACAAAACAGUUCCUUUGGCUGCUUCAAUCGCAAUUUUCUCUGGUCACCCCCUGGUACUUUUUUCAUAGACCUUUGCUUGUUUGUUAUUUCUAUAGCAAAAUUGUCAAAGACAUUACUAUAGCAAUACCUAAAAAAAAUUAAUGUUUUUCCCCUCCUGAUGAAAAGUGUUUUAUUGAAAUUCUAACUUUUCUAUAUUUAUCGUUAUGGGAAGUAUUUGCUUGUUUCUGCAUAUUCUUCUAGUAAAUAUUUUGAAUUAUGUCUGCUCUUCAAAAAUGUUGUAUAUUAAUUUAGCCCUUUGAUAUUAAAAUAAGUAUUAGUAAUUAAUUUAGUCAUUUGAUGUAUAUAUUUAAGUCUCAACUUGCUUGAUGAUAAUUCGAGACCAAUUCAAUGACAUAAAUUUGACUUUAGGUUUUGUUGGAAAAAAAACACGUACAUACAGAGUUGGUGUUGUGCAUUAUGUUAUGGCUAAAUUGAAAAGGAUUAAACUAACAGCUUGAGAAUUUGUUAAUCUUCUAAGAAUAUUAAUUAAAUUCAGCAUUUUGUUAUAAUGCAGCACACGCUGGGUUCAUGUCAGGAAUGACUAGAAUAGAAUCUGUGAUUUUGUCUAAUCUAGUGUGGUCACUUAAAAUAU